AGCUCAGUUGGUAGAGCAAAGACUGAAAU
rnacentral:tRNA from 1 species